rnacentral:lncRNA from 1 species
GUCCCAAGCGUAACGUAGAGAUGUUAUCCGAUUCCUAAUUUGCUUGUCAAUGCUUCUAGAGAUCUUCUCCGUUGUGACCCACACACCUCCAUGCCUUCUUGAAUUUCGUUCUCUCUAGAUAGAGUAGAGAACCAUCUGAAACACCAUCCUUCCUAGCACAGUAUCAAGCCGACUCCGUGCAGGCUGCAGCAAGGACACGACAGUAUCAUUCCAGUCAGGAGAUAUGGCAUUUCCGAAUAGCUUUCCUGCAGUUUGCAGCCAGACAGUAAACGAGUAGGGACAUGCAAAAUACAAGUGAUCCCUUGUUUCAUUCUUCUCUCCACACAGCACACAACACUGCUC